GGAUGGGCGGCACGCCUGGACCAUGAAGCACUUCAAGAAACCAACCUACUGCAACUUCUGCCAUAUCAUGCUCAUGGGCGUCCGCAAGCAAGGCCUGUGCUGCACUUACUGUAAAUACACUGUCCACGAACGCUGUGUGUCCAGAAACAUUCCUGGUUGUGUCAAAACGUACUCAAAAGCCAAAAGGAGUGGUGAGUUUCACCGCAAAUGUGAAUUAUCAACGUUGUGUGACGGUGGGGAACUCAGAGACCACAUCUUACUGCCCACCUCCAUAUGCCCCAUCACCCGGGUAAGUGCUCCUGCCCCGGCGAGGGCUGUAGCUUCUCCGGGUUCUGGUUUCAGAUGUAGGCAGCUUUCAGACAUUCA
rnacentral:lncRNA from 1 species